rnacentral:lncRNA from 1 species
CACUGCGACCUUGCACAGGAAAAGGGUUAUUAAAAUUGGAUGGACGAAUAUAUCUAAAAUCUCCAUUUCUGUUUCUUCAGUAGAGGACAACGUCGCAGUACAGUAUAUCGUCCUUGUGAAUGUCCCUUGAGUUCCCUGUUUCAUGGCCCUCUGUAGAGGAACUGUGAAAAGCUUCCCAGAGACCUUUGGCUGGAUGACGCCUCUUCGAGCCAUGCUGAUAUUAGCAAACUGUUUGGCCUUUGAACCUGGGUGCAAGAGACCCAUAAAAAGCAGAGCUCAGAUAACAACGGACGAGGGUGUGUUUCGCCAGCAGAUCGCCGAUCGAUCCAUUCAGAUCGAGCACGCGGGUCCGAUAAAUGCGAAAAAACAACUUUUGCGCUGUUCUCGCUUGCUUGUGUGCACACCUUUCCGGACACAGUCGGCAUCACUUGUCGUUUGUUUUGCAGUCACAGGGUUGGAGAGCAACAACUGCGAGUCGAACCCAGAGCUGCAAUGCAACUUCAUUUGCGACUGUUCAAACUGUACCGAUGAGCAAAUGUGUGGCUAUGAUGGACACACCUUUAUCUGCGACUUCGAGGACCUGGCGACCUGUGGCUGGAAGUCAUCGAACGCCUCCAUGUACAGGUGGGAGAGGCGCCAGCGGGGGCGCUCACUGCCAGACAGCGGGCCCUCGUCCGAUUUCACCACAGGCACCUCCACAGGUAUUGCGCUGACUGCACCGGCACCAGCACACACAUACGUACAGCUGUCAGCUUAACCUCUCUGUGAAACCCUAACCCGUCAAUCUUUUUACAAAAGGGAAAAAGCUGCAAAUGCAGAGAAUUAUUGGAACAUGUUGCAGUUUUUUUUUCCAAUCAUUGAAACAAGUGGGUGGGGGGAGCGAGGGCGCGGCGGGUUUGGCCGGGCCCCGCUCUCUGGCGGGUCUGGGGUUCGAGUCCCGCU